AUUGAACGCUGGCGGCAGGCCUAACACAUGCAAGUCGAGCGGAAGAAGGGAGCUUGCUCCUGGAUUCAGCGGCGGACGGGUGAGUAAUGGCUAGGAAUCUGGCUGUUAGUUGGGGAUAACGUCCGGAAACGGGCGCUAAUACCGCAUACGUCCUGAGGGAGAAAGUGGGGGAUCUUGGGACCUCACGCUAUCAGAUGAGCCUAGGUCGGAUUAGCGAGUUGGUGGGGUAAAGGCCUACCAAGGCGACGAUCCGUAACUGGUCUGAGAGGAUGAUCAGUCACACUGGAACUGAGACACGGUCCAGACUCCUACGGGAGGCAGCAGUGGGGAAUAUUGGACAAUGGGCGAAAGCCUGAUCCAGCCAUGCCGCGUGUGUGAAGAAGGUCUUCGGAUUGUAAAGCACUUUAAGUUGGGAGGAAGGGCAGUAAGUUAAUACCUUGCUGUUUUGACGUUACCCACAGAAUAAGCACCGGCUAACUUCGUG
rnacentral:rRNA from 1 species